AUUCUAGAAAUCUGUUCCGGAGAGGGUUUAAAGCUCCAAUUAGAUCUUUUUCCCUGAGGAUUUAUUUCGACCAUGAAGAGUGCACUAGGGCUAGUGUAGAAUGUUCCAUCAAUCAAAGUUAAUGAAUGAUGAACUUCAUGGGGAUCCUCUACUAUUCGUCAGAAAAUGACUAAAUUAAUUUUAUUUAAUAAUUGUUAAGCAAAUGUAACAUUUUUGUCCCAAUUAUGUUAAAUAAAAAUAUUUCAGCAA